rnacentral:rRNA from 1 species
GUCCUAGCUGUAAACGAUGGGCACUAGGUAGAGGGGUUUCGAUGCCUUCUCUGCCGGAGCUAAUGUAUUAAGUGCCCCGCCUGGGGAGUAUGGUCGCAAGGCUAAAACUCAAAAGGAAUUGACGGGGGCUCACACAAGCGGUGGAGCAUGUGGUUCAAUUCGAAGCAACGCGAAGAACCUUACCCGGGUUUGAAAUGCUGGGAUUAGUCCCUGAAAGGGGAAUGACGCCGCAAGGUGGAACCAGUACAGGUGUUGCAUGGCUGUCGU